rnacentral:rRNA from 1 species
ACGCUGGCGGCAGGCCUAACACAUGCAAGUCGAGCGGUAACACAGGAGAGCUUGCUCUCUGGGUGACGAGCGGCGGACGGGUGAGUAAUGUCUGGGAAACUGCCUGAUGGAGGGGGAUAACUACUGGAAACGGUAGCUAAUACCGCAUGACCUCGCAAGAGCAAAGUGGGGGACCUUCGGGCCUCACGCCAUCGGAUGUGCCCAGAUGGGAUUAGCUAGUAGGUGAGGUAAUGGCUCACCUAGGCGACGAUCCCUAGCUGGUCUGAGAGGAUGACCAGCCACACUGGAACUGAGACACGGUCCAGACUCCUACGGGAGGCAGCAGUGGGGAAUAUUGCACAAUGGGCGCAAGCCUGAUGCAGCCAUGCCGCGUGUGUGAAGAAGGCCUUCGGGUUGUAAAGCACUUUCAGCGAGGAGGAAGGCGUUGUAGUUAAUAGCUGCAACGAUUGACGUUACUCGCAGAAGAAGCACCGGCUAACUCCGUGCCAGCAGCCGCGGUAAUACGGAGGGUGCAAGCGUUAAUCGGAAUUACUGGGCGUAAAGCGCACGCAGGCGGUUUGUUAAGUCAGAUGUGAAAUCCCCGAGCUUAACUUGGGAACUGCAUUUGAAACUGGCAAGCUAGAGUCUUGUAGAGGGGGGUAGAAUUCCAGGUGUAGCGGUGAAAUGCGUAGAGAUCUGGAGGAAUACCGGUGGCGAAGGCGGCCCCCUGGACAAAGACUGACGCUCAGGUGCGAAAGCGUGGGGAGCAAAC